CUGACUGUGGCUUUCUGCCCGCUGAGCUCCAAAUCAUCGGCUUUAAACGGACGGAAAAAUACAGGCUGCAGCCUCUGUGAUGAGGGAAUGGAAGGGAAAUAAAAAAGCUGCACAUGUAUAGCUGACCACAGUAGAUGCAACAAACACCAGCAGGCUGGCUCGUCAACCUGAGGUUGAACAGGAAAUGUCAGGGGAGAAAUGAGAAGCGGCAGAGGGUUGCGUGCCAGAAGCAAACCGCAGGGCACAGGCUGACCUUUUCACCUCUUGAGGGAACGCAGGGAAGCUGCGGAGACGGCAGCUGUACGGCCGAGGAGAGAGAGUCAUAAAACGCAGAAGGCCGAAAGAGGAAGUCGGGGGAACCUGGACCUCUCCUCUCCCGGCUGUUCUCAUCCCGUCAGUGCGGCAGACAUCAGGGACUGUAUAGCAGAUGAGUUUGACCUACUGCCCCCCUCGGGCCUCAGGGAGGAGGGCAUGGCUCCAAAUGUGCGUGUCAGUAUUUUUGUGUGUUUAUGUUUUGGCGCAUUGCACAAGUGUGCAUACAUGUGUGCUUAAAUCUGGGUCUCCUAAUGUAUUUACGUUGAGACGACCUUGGGUGGGCGUUGGUGGGACUGAAUUUGCCCCCACUGGGACUUUUCCCAAAACCAAAUAUCAGCAGUGGAUUACAUGCAGAGGUCAAGUCCUGUACUAAACCCCCUUCAGUUAAUCAACAGCUCCCAGUUUGGGGGACUGUUUUUUUUUUUUUGAUAGAUGUGGUUAUUUUCACAUGUGGAGACUCAAAAUCAUUAUUUUAUAUUUUACUUGGGUGAAGGCUGUUCAGUGCCCUGUCAAAUUUGUUGCCACGUAGGUCAGUGUUUAGGUUGUGAAACCAUGAUUUACACAGUUGCGGUCAUCAUGCCAAUAAUGAGAUGGAGCUGAAUGGAGCUGCAGGAGUCACCGAUCUGUAGCAACAACUCCAAAUCUCAUUCCUACCAGACAAUAGUUGAAACAUGUUAGUCAGUGAGUAGUGUUAUAAAUCCCUUGUUUUCACGCCUGUGCCACUGUAUUCACCCCUGAAGCACAUUUCUAGAUCGAACUGUUUGCGCUUUUCAAAUUAGAAUCUUGCAUGCAUGAGUGCAUCGUGUGUGUUUGCAUGUUUGCGCGUGUGUAUUUUUGUGUAUUCAAAAUCCGUUUUCUAAUCGCAAACCAUCUCGUUGGCUUGAGUUUCUAGAGAGGCGACGUGCUCCUCUGCACAAAGUCUGCAAGGAACACGCUAACAACGCUCUACUUUAUCCUGAAUUUGUUUGUGACUGAGGGAGCUGGGAAGCGUGGCGGUGUUGUGAGUGUGCAUGCGUGUAGAGUAGAAACCAUGCACAACGCAGAUGACACGGCCAGGACCGUUAUUUUCCCACAGCACAAUAUAAAUAGCUUGCUAGUGUGGGGUGACGGUGGGCAGGCAGGGGCGCACGAGGGAGGAUCCCGUCCACACACAACCACACAUUCCCGUUCCACCUGGCCCUGGCAGGGCCCUGUAGGUCAAUUACAGGCUGUGCUCACACACACGCACACACA